rnacentral:rRNA from 1 species
GAUUAAACGCUGCACGGAAUGCUUUACACAUGCAAGUCGAACGGCAGCACGGACUUCGGUCUGGUGGCGAGUGGCGAACGGGUGAGUAACAUAUCGGAACGUAUCCAAUAAUGGGGGAUAACUAAUCGAAAGGUUGGCUAAUACCGCAUACGCCCUACGGGGGAAAGCUAGGGAUCUUCGGACCUGGCGUUAAUGGAGCGGCCGAUAUCUGAUUAGCUAGUUGGUGGGGUAAAGGCCCACCAAGGCGACGAUCAGUAGCUGGUCUGAGAGGACGACCAGCCACACUGGAACUGAGACACGGUCCAGACUCCUACGGGAGGCAGCAGUGGGGAAUUUUGGACAAUGGGCGCAAGCCUGAUCCAGCCAUUCCGCGUGAGUGAAGAAGGCCUUCGGGUUGUAAAGCUCUUUCGCAAGGGAAGAAAACUUAUCCUCUAACAUAGGAUGAGGUUGACGGUACCUUGAUAAGAAGCACCGGCUAACUACGUGCCAGCAGCCGCGGUAAUACGUAGGGUGCGAGCGUUAAUCGGAAUUACUGGGCGUAAAGCGUGCGCAGGCUGUUUUGUAAGUCAGAUGUGAAAUCCCUGAGCUCAACUUAGGAACUGCGUUUGAAACUACAAGACUAGAAUAUGUCAGAGGGGGGUAGAAUUCCACGUGUAGCAGUGAAAUGCGUAGAGAUGUGGAGGAAUACCAAUGGCGAANGCAGCCCCCUGGGAUAAUAUUGACGCUCAUGCACGAAAGCGUGGGGAGCAAACAGGAUUAGAUACCCUGGUAGUCCACGCCCUAAACGAUGUCUACUAGUUGUUGGUGGAGUAAAAUCCAUGAGUAACGCAGCUAACGCGUGAAGUAGACCGCCUGGGGAGUACGGUCGCAAGAUUAAAACUCAAAUGAAUUGACGGGG